rnacentral:rRNA from 1 species
GAUGAACGCUGGCGGCGUGCCUAAUACAUGCAAGUCGAGCGAACAGACGAGGAGCUUGCUCCUCUGACGUUAGCGGCGGACGGGUGAGUAACACGUGGAUAACCUACCUAUAAGACUGGGAUAACUUCGGGAAACCGGAGCUAAUACCGGAUAAUAUAUUGAACCGCAUGGUUCAAUAGUGAAAGACGGUUUUGCUGUCACUUAUAGAUGGAUCCGCGCCGCAUUAGCUAGUUGGUAAGGUAACGGCUUACCAAGGCGACGAUGCGUAGCCGACCUGAGAGGGUGAUCGGCCACACUGGAACUGAGACACGGUCCAGACUCCUACGGGAGGCAGCAGUAGGGAAUCUUCCGCAAUGGGCGAAAGCCUGACGGAGCAACGCCGCGUGAGUGAUGAAGGUCUUCGGAUCGUAAAACUCUGUUAUUAGGGAAGAACAAAUGUGUAAGUAACUAUGCAUGUCUUGACGGUACCUAAUCAGAAAGCCACGGCUAACUACGUG